UUGGACCCUUGAGUUUUGCAUCUGGACCUUCGAUACUGACAUCAGGGGCAUCAAUGUCCACUUUGGGGCCAGAAAUCUCAAUGUCAGCCUUAGGAAGGGUAACAUCCACAUCUGGGCCCUCUCCUUUGAAUCCUGGCAUGCUGAAUUUGGGCAUUUUCACCUUGGGCAUCUUCAGGUGCCAGUCUGGGCCUUGAACAUCCACAUCUGGGGCAUUAAUAUCCACUUUGGGGCCUUUAAU
rnacentral:lncRNA from 1 species